rnacentral:pre_miRNA from 12 species
AGCGGAAUUGCUGGAUUGUAUGGUAAAUUUAACUUUUUAAGAAACUACCAAACUACUUUCUAAAGUGGCUGUACCAUUUACAUUUCUACCAGCAAU